UACGUAGGGACCAAGCGUUGUUCGGAUUUACUGGGCGUAAAGGGCGCGUAGGCGGCGCGGUAAGUCACUUGUGAAAUCUCUGAGCUUAACUCAGAACGGCCAAGUGAUACUGCAGUGCUAGAGUGUGGAAGGGGCAAUCGGAAUUCUUGGUGUAGCGGUGAAAUGCGUAGAUAUCAAGAGGAACACCUGAGGUGAAGACGGGUUGCUGGGCCAACACGUGACGCUGAUGCGCGAAGCCAGGGGAGCAAACGGG
rnacentral:rRNA from 1 species